CCGCAGUUUGGUCAAACUCAUGUUCGUACCUUCGAGAACACUGUCCCACCAUCUUGUCCUCUGUCAUCCCCUUCUCCUUGUGCCCUCCAUCUUUCCCAACAUCAGGGUCUUUUCCAGGGAGUCUUCUCUUCUCAUGAGGUGGCCAAAGUCUUGGAGCCUCAGCUUCAGAAUCUGUCCUUCCAGUGAGCACUCAGGGCUGAUUUCCUUCAGAAUGGAGAGGUUUGAUCUUCUUGCAGUCCAUGGGACUCUCAAGAGUCUCCUCCAGCACCAGAAUUC